UACGUAGGGGGCAAGCGUUGUCCGGAUUUAUUGGGCGUAAAGAGCGUGUAGGCGGCCAGACAGGUCCGUUGUGAAAACUCGAGGCUCAACCUCGAGAUGUCGAUGGAAACCGUCUGGCUGGAGUCCGGAAGAGGAGUGUGGAAUUCCUGGUGUAGCGGUGAAAUGCGCAGAUAUCAGGAAGAACACCUAUGGCGAAGGCAGCUCGCUGGGACGUGACUGACGCUGAGACGCGAAAGCGUGGGGAGCAAACAGG
rnacentral:rRNA from 1 species